GGCGAAGGCGUUCUCCAACGAGAGAGUGGUGUUUCGUAGAGCUUCUUCCCGUCGAAGACGUCUAGUUUCUCUCAAAUUCGGAGUAUCUUGAGGGGCCAAAGCUCGGAUCCAUCUGCCAAGUCUGUUACUGCCAAAUGCCAAACCGCCUGUUGCAAUUACGAAAGUGCUGACGUUUAGCACUGACCCAUCGUUUCCUCUUUUACGUAAUGCACUUCCGGCGGGCGCGGCGUGCGAAAUAUUGCGUGCAGCUGUUCGAGUUCGCAAAACGGACGAAAAUCGAUGGACUCAAUUUCAAAAUCAGUUCCAGCACAUUAAAUGUGAUCACGCGAGAAAUUAUAAUUCCAUUUACAAUUUAGUUGCAAUUAAAUUUUAUAUUUUUUAAAUACAUAUAAUUUAUUAUGUAAUCGUAAUAAUGUUUAUCAAUUGCAACGCGCACAACUCUAUUAUAUUAUAUUAAAUAUCGUAAAU